UGAUCAAUGAAUGGUAGUUUUUAACUACAG
rnacentral:piRNA from 1 species